GAAAAACCAGUAGAACCGGUUUACAGUACUACUAUAUACGAAAGGAAGCUCAGAGCAGCUGCAUUCGUCCUUCAAGAAGCGAAGAAUACAAGUGAAGAGGAAGAAAGCUCUAAAUCUUUGCAAAAAAAUAAUCAAGAUGUCUGGAAAAGACGACAAAAAGAAGCCAGCUGCCCCCAAACCAGCCGAGAAACAGAGCAAAGACGAGCACAAAGAGGAGGAGAAAGGCAAGAAAGGAGGUCGUGGUGGUGGCAAAAAAGCAGGAUCUAAAAAAUAGUACAGGGCGUCGGGCACCGUUUAUUAGAUGAACAGUGCUACACCUAAGUUAUGUAAUUAUAUACAAGAAAAUAAUACCAAGAUCUCACCGACUUCAAGACUAACUUACAGGCGCCAGUCUGAUGUUACCAACCCUACUAGCUGUGCCGAUGUUUUUGUACUUACGUGAACUCGUUGAUGUUUUCAAUAAAAUAUUUAUAUGAUUAUCACAAUAGUUGUUGUUUCUUCAGAGAGGGUGGAACUUACGCUUGCACAGCGCAUGUCGAGAGCCCUCCAUACUUCUCUUGCCCAGUGAAGGGGGGGGGGGGGGUAGGGUAAAAUUUAAACAGUUAAAAAAGCACUGAUUACUUCCCUCUUGACUAAAUCUGUUUUUUUAUUUUAUUUUAUUCGGCAAAUAAGGAUGGGCUUUCAAGAAAAAAGCGGUAUAACCCCGGCGAAAAAUCGGGAGGGUUGGCCAGAGUGGCCCAGUAGCAACCGCCGUCUUUGAAUGGCCCUAUCCAUCUUUAAUGCAUCUUUGCAUGAAUAAAUUACACUAAAGUCCCAUUUACACGCGCCAGCGCUUACGUUUCCACCGAAAGGCUCGCUGUAAACAAGGCGCGGGCGCAUAGCGUAAAUCGCGGCAGCACAAUCCAAGAUGGCGCUAACAAUACGGCAAGAAAAAAAAAAAAUGCAGCGAUUUUUGCCUUUCAUUCAUGGCGAGAAACAACGAGAGAGUAGAAAGGAGGUGGUGGGUGAGUCCUUGGAAGACCGAGGAGUAAAGGCAGGCCCAAGGUUUUGGUGCAAAUUUGAUUCACGGGCUACGCAACACGGACCAAGCAGGAUGGAUGCCACCCUUUUUGAGGAAAGUCUUGAGAAGGUCACCCCGCUGGUUAAAAGGGAGUCAAAGCAAUUUCUGCUCAUCACAGACUAUGUAUAAUGUUGCAUUUUCUGGCCACGGGCUGUUCGUAUCAUACCCGAGGUAUGUGAUGCUAUGUUCCAAGUACUGAAGGAUGAAUAUCUCACUACGCUACAGAAGAUUGGGUUAAAUUAGCCGAAGAAUUUGAAGAUAAAUAGAACUUCCCUCCUGCCGUGGGUGCUAUUGACGGUAAGCAUAUAAUUAAAUAUGCAAGCACUGCCAAACACAGGAUCAGAGUAAUUCAACUACAAGAAACAAUUUAGUAUUGUUCUCCUUGCUAUUGCUGAUGCCAAUGCUAAAUUUAUAGCAUUUGAGCUUGGAUCGCCUGGGAAUCAAUCAGGUGUGGGAAUUUUCAAGGAUGGUAAAUUAAAAGACAGAAAUGGAAAUCAGAUAUUUUCCCCUGACCCAAACAUAUUGGCCAAAGAGUGUAACCAAUACCAUACUACAUCCUUGGUUUUGGCUUACUCUGUGCUAGAUUUAGGGUGCUGCUGAAGACAAUGGAGCUAGAUGUAGAGAAUGCAAAGAUUUCUUGUGCAUGUAUUGCGCUUCACAAUUUCUUAAUCAGUAAGAAAGGCAAGUCAUACUUAGAAUAACAGGGGAUAUAGUGCUCUGUGUGUCAUUUUCUGUGGUGCACUUUAGUGCUUUAUUAGAUUAUUCUGAAAACAUAUUGAUUACAUUUCCCUUACAUGGCAUCUGUGAAACAGUUUUUUAAAAGUUGGGGAUUCCUUGUACCUAAGCUGUAAGAUCUUGAUUUUAACCACCUUAACGAUUUCAAAACAAUGCAAGGCACCCUGAAUUUAUCAGUAUUUUUACAAUAUUUUAGCUGGUAAAUGACAUACAAAUAAACAUAUGUAGACAGAUCAAUCAACACCAAUAUUAGAGAUGAUCCUUUAUGAUAACUGCAUAAACACAUAUCAGAACUGGUAAAAUAAAUUAAUAGAAAAAAAUAUAUCUGUAUCCAUCAUACUGUUGCACAUGUUUAGUCAAACAAUAUACCCAGCAAUUUUUAGUAUAGAUUAUAGCUCUAUAUUUUUGGUUUACAAUGUUCUAGCCCAUCAAACAAUCUGCAGCUUUGGGUAUUGUCUUCCAGUUUUUUUUGUCAUAAAAUGUUUGUUUGCAAGGAAUGACGUUUAUGAUGUCUUCUGUUAUAAAUAGUUGUUUUCAAAGAAUUGAAGGGUAUGGUCCAGCUGUACACCUUAAUAAAAGCUUAAUCUUCACCAUUACAAGAGACUGGAUUUGAAUAUUUUUAUUUAAGUUAGAAGGGAAGAUUUUCCCAAAUAAUGUUUGAAUUAGAUUUAUUGAGAGAUUCAAGUAAAAAUGCUUUCUUGAUAAAUCAUUUACAGUAAAUGUAUUAUUUGCAAUAAAUAGAAAUAUGAUUGUUUAUUAUAAAUAUACAUGUAUCCAAAACGGAUUUAUCUGUAAAUAACUGGAUUACAAAGUUUCUUCAAGUAGAUCAAUAACUAUGAAAAGUCAGAAGGGAAGAUCUUUCCCAAGAAUGUUUUUUUUGAUAAAAAUAAAAUAUUUGCAAUAAAAA